rnacentral:rRNA from 1 species
UGCCUACGGGAGGCAGCAGUGAGGAAUAUUGGUCAAUGGGCGAGAGCCUGAACCAGCCAAGUCGCGUGAGGGAAGACGGUCCUAUGGAUUGUAAACCUCUUUUGCCGGGGAGCAAAAAGCGGUACGUGUACCGCAUCGAGAGUACCCGGAGAAAAAGCAUCGGCUAACUCCGUGCCAGCAGCCGCGGUAAUACGGAGGAUGCGAGCGUUAUCCGGAUUUAUUGGGUUUAAAGGGUGCGCAGGCGGGAGAUCAAGUCAGCGGUAAAAUGUCGGGGCUCAACCCCGGCCGGCCGUUGAAACUGGGUU